rnacentral:rRNA from 1 species
UGUACCUUGUUGCUUCGGUGCGCCCGCCUCACGGCCGCCGGGGGGCUUCUGCCCCCGGGUCCGCGCGCACCGGAGACACCAUUGAACUCUGUCUGAAGAUUGCAGUCUGAGCAUAAACUAAAUAAGUUAAAACUUUCAACAACGGAUCUCUUGGUUCCGGCAUCGAUGAAGAACGCAGCGAAAUGCGAUAACUAAUGUGAAUUGCAGAAUUCAGUGAAUCAUCGAGUCUUUGAACGCACAUUGCGCCCCCUGGUAUUCCGGGGGGCAUGCCUGUCCGAGCGUCAUUGCUGCCCUCAAGCACGGCUUGUGUGUUGGGCUCCGUCCCCCCGGGGACGGGUCCGAAAGGCAGCGGCGGCACCGAGUCCGGUCCUCGAGCGUAUGGGGCUUUGUCACCCGCUCUGUAGGCCCGGCCGGCGCCAGCCGACAACCAAUCAUCCUUUUUUCAGGUUGACCUCGGAUCAGGUAGGGAUACCCGCUGAACUUAAGCAUAUCAAU